rnacentral:rRNA from 1 species
GUCCACACAGUAAACGAUGGAUACUCGCUGCCGGCGAUACAAUGUCGGUGGCCUAGCGAAAGCGUUAAGUAUCCCACCUGGGGAGUACGCCGGCAACGGUGAAACUCAAAGGAAUUGACGGGGGCCCGCACAAGCGGAGGAACAUGUGGUUUAAUUCGAUGAUACGCGAGGAACCUUACCCAGGCUCGAACGGCAAGUUGAAGGUAGUCAGAGAUGACAUCCGUCUUCGGACAAUUUGUCGAGGUGCUGCAUGGUUGUCGU